rnacentral:rRNA from 1 species
AGUGAACGCUGGCGGUAGGCCUAACACAUGCAAGUCGAACGGCAGCACAGUAAGAGCUUGCUCUUACGGGUGGCGAGUGGCGGACGGGUGAGGAAUACAUCGGAAUCUACUUUUUCGUGGGGGAUAACGUAGGGAAACUUACGCUAAUACCGCAUACGACCUACGGGUGAAAGCAGGGGAUCUUCGGACCUUGCGCGAUUGAAUGAGCCGAUGUCGGAUUAGCUAGUUGGCGGGGUAAAGGCCCACCAAGGCGACGAUCCGUAGCUGGUCUGAGAGGAUGAUCAGCCACACUGGAACUGAGACACGGUCCAGACUCCUACGGGAGGCAGCAGUGGAGAAUAUUGGACAAUGGGCGCAAGCCUGAUCCAGCCAUACCGCGUGGGUGAAGAAGGCCUUCGGGUUGUAAAGCCCUUUUGUUGGGAAAGAAAAGCAGCAGGUUAAUACCCCGCUGUUCUGACGGUACCCAAAGAACAAGCACCGGCUAACUUCGUG